ACAGCCCUGGGUUUUCUGCAAAAUACAACACAUACAGUCUUAUGGAUGACACGACGGAUAAAAUCGCACACUUUGAGUUGGUGCAGGUAACAGAAGCAUCUAGCUCAACGGCCAUGGAGCCCAUUGGGUUUAAAAGAGGCCUAAAUCAUAUUUUGGAGAAAGGCAUCAAAGUAGAUGUGUUGACCACUGACAGAUCUCCAUCCAUAAGAAAGAUAAUGCGGGUGGAAUAUCCAUUUAUUCACCAUGAAUUUGAUAUAUGGCACGUGGUGAAGGGGUUGCUAAAGAAAUUAUUAUCCUUGUCAAGAUACAAGGACAACAGAGAUCUCCAGCCCUGGAUCAAGUGCAUCUGCAACCAUUUGUGGUAUUGCUGCUCUAGUUGUGG